rnacentral:rRNA from 1 species
AUUGAACGCUGGCGGCAGGCUUAACACAUGCAAGUCGAGCGGAGAUGAGGUGCUUGCACCUUAUCUUAGCGGCGGACGGGUGAGUAAUGCUUAGGAAUCUGCCUAUUAGUGGGGGACAACAUUCCGAAAGGAAUGCUAAUACCGCAUACGCCCUACGGGGGAAAGCAGGGGAUCUUCGGACCUUGCGCUAAUAGAUGAGCCCAAGUCGGAUUAGCUAGUUGGUGGGGUAAAGGCAUACCAAGGCGACGAUCUGUAGCGGGUCUGAGAGGAUGGUCCGCCACACUGGGACGAAGACACGUCCCAGACUCCUACGGGAGGCAGCAGUGGGGAAUAUUGGACAAUGGGCGGAAGCCUGAUCCAGCCAUGCCGCGUGUGUGAAGAAGGCCUUUUGGUUGUAAAGCACUUUAAGCGAGGAGGAGGCUACCUGGAUUAAUACUCUAGGAUAGUGGACGUUACUCGCAGAAUAAGCACCGGCUAACUCUGUGCCAGCCGCCGCGGUAACAC